CAAAUGCUUCACACAUUUGAAAUGUCUGUUUUUAGGACUUUGAAGUGGGCAAAAUGUAUAAGAAGAAAAUCGUCCUGACGAACACCAGCCACGUGACUAACUACUGCAAGCUGCUCGGGCUGUCUGCGCAGCUGAAGGAUUUUAUUUCUAUCAACCUGCCAGCAGCCCACAGGCCGAGCAGGCUGGUGUCGUUCUCCAGGUCACUCUUGAUGUACCACUUUGCUCCGCUCCCCACCAUCUCUAGCUGCCUGAUUGAAGAGUUUCCCCAGCAACAGCAGAGUCAACUUAAAACCUACUGAACUCUUGAGCCGUCUUGCUGAACUACAGAUUUAUAGUCACUUCAAAGAAGGAUUUGCCAUAGUGAUGAUACCUCAGUCAGUUUUUCAAAUAAUCCAAGGUACCUGGUGAUACAGGAGGUUCAUAACUUUGAUUUGAAAGGCCUGGAUCAGUACCUAAUGUUGGUGAUGGAAAGCUAAUGUUCCUUCAUUAUUUAAAGUCUUCAGCAAAUAUUAUAUAAUUUCAUAAUGCUGUCAUUGUACUGGAGCGGAAGCUGUCACAUUGGCUUUAUUGCGUACAAUUUAGAUUGUCCAUCAUCCGUGCACACACUAUUUCCAACCAAAAUAACAAAACUAUCUUUUCUUUUUCCAUCACAUAUUUG
rnacentral:lncRNA from 1 species